UCAAACUUGGUCAUUUAGAGGAAGUAAAAGUCGUAACAAGGUUUCCGUAGGUGAACCUGCGGAAGGAUCAUUGCAGUAGUCUCGGGGGGGACUCCCGAUGCCGGUCUCGGUAGAGACAUGUGCUCGUCCCCCUCGUUCUGUCAUAUACACACACACACCUGUGCACCUUGACGGGGGGAGGGAGGGGACACACGUACGCGAACUCGCGUAUUCUGCCUCCUCACCAUCCUGUCAUAUAUCCCACGCCUGUUUCUAUGCAUGUCCUCUUUACGGGCCCUUAUAAAGGGCUCGAAGGAAAAACUUGAUAACUUUCAACAACGGAUCUCUUGGCUUUCGCAUCGAUGAAGAACGCAGC
rnacentral:misc_RNA from 1 species